GGGGCUGUGAGUGUACAUUUUAGUGUACAGGUACAAAUACUUACUUUACAAGUUCACAAAUUAAAAUCUACAUGCUCUCAAGUUUUGCUACUGAAAUACCUUCAUACAUACAAGGCACCCCAGACCCAUCACACACGUGGAAAGCGACCGGUUCGUCGACAUUGCUCGAGUUUGUUUGGGAAAUCGUGAGUCACGUCACGGGGCUGAAAGGAAAGCGAAACCGAACCGGUGCAGCGACUCGGUUAGCACCGCUUUCAUUUCAUAAUUCUGACGAAACUUGUCAUUACAUCCAUUAAAAUUAAACGCAUUUUGGUGCGAUCGAUGACCUGAACUGAAGUCUAAGAACAAUAUUAGAAGUGUGAGGAAGAUGCGAAAGAGAAGUGAUCAUGACUCUAAGAUGAUGAUACUGUAAUGCUGUAGCAUAGGCAGUUCAAAGGGCACUGCAGAAAGAAACAAUAACAGCAUCUAACAACAUGGCUGUCAGUAAUAUCUAUGAAUGGCAGUUGUUUGAUGGAUCUAAGUGGAGUAGUAUCUGUAAUGAUAUUAUUAUUGAAACCCAUUACUGUCAGCCAGGGGCUUCUGGGAUUACCCUCCACACUAGCAUAGGAUCUCUUUAUAUUGACUUUGAUGCGAUGACAGUCAGUGGAAUCUGUGGUAACGUCCUUGUACGACGCAAUACGUUUCUGUCCAACAACCAGAAACAGGAAGUAGGCUGGUACUAUAAAGACAACCAGCGCUGGUGUCAAUAUGGAGCUCAGGUACACAAUCCUAUAAUGUCUCUUACACAUUCAUUUAAAAAAAGCAGCUGAUGGUUAAAGGUCUAGUGUAUGGACAUUUAGUGGCAUCUAGCGGCGAGGUUGUGAAUUGCGACCAAUGGCUCACUCCACCCCUCCCUUUCGAAGCACUACGGUGACUGACACAGUCACAUUUUCGCUUCUUUGCCGAAGGAGAUAACGUAUUUACGAAACGCGCGCUAGAGCAGUUUCUAUAGAAACGACAUGAAAAUUCCAUGCAAGGGGACCCGCUGUCUAUGUAGGCAAUGAAAAACAUCAAGCUUCAUUAUGUAAGGCCUGACA